ACCUACGGGGGGCAGCAGUAGGGAAUCUUCCACAAUGGGCGAAAGCCUGAUGGAGCAACGCCGCGUGGGUGAAGAAGGUCUUCGGAUCGUAAAACCCUGUUGUUAGAGAAGAAAGUGCGUGAGAGUAACUGUUCACGUUUCGGCGGUAUCUAACCAGAAAGCCACGGCUAACUACGUGCCAGCAGCCGCGGUAAUACGUAGGUGGCAAGCGUUAUCCGGAUUUAUUGGGCGUAAAGGGAACGCAGGCGGUCUUUUAAGUCUGAUGUGAAAGCCUUCGGCUUAACCGGAGUAGUGCAUUGUAAACU
rnacentral:rRNA from 1 species